rnacentral:tRNA from 2 species
GCCGAGGUAGCUCAGCUUGGUAGAGCACUUGACUGAAAAUCAAGGUGUCGUGAGUUCAAAUCUCACCCUCGGCACCA